AUGGCCUCUGUCUCCGAGCUCGCCUGCAUCUACUAGGCGCUCAUUCUGCACGACGAUGAGGUGACCGUCACGGAGGAUAAGAUCAAUGCUCUCAUUAAAGCAGCUGGUGUAAAUAUUGAACCUUUUUGACCUGGCUUGUUUGCAAAGGCCUGGUCAAUGUCAACAUCGGGAGCCUCAUCUGCAGUGUAGAGGCUGGUGGAGCUGCUCCAGCUGAGGAGAAGAAAGUGGAAGCAAAGAAAGAAGAAUCCGAGGACGGUGAUGAUGACAUGCGCUUUGGUCUUUUU
rnacentral:lncRNA from 1 species